GUCACUGUAGAGCAAUGGAUAGCAUGUUGGACCUUUAAUCCAAAGGUCGUGGAUUCGAAUCCCACCAGAGAUG